rnacentral:rRNA from 1 species
UACGUAGGGUGCGAGCGUUGUCCGGAAUUAUUGGGCGUAAAGAGCUUGUAGGCGGUUUGUCGCGUCUGCCGUGAAAAUCCGAGGCUCAACCCCGGACUUGCGGUGGGUACGGGCAGACUAGAGUGUGGUAGGGGAGACUGGAAUUCCUGGUGUAGCGGUGAAAUGCGCAGAUAUCAGGAGGAACACCGAUGGCGAAGGCAGGUCUCUGGGCCACUACUGACGCUGAGAAGCGAAAGCGUGGGGAGCGAACAGG